rnacentral:lncRNA from 1 species
CCACAGUGGGGAAUUCUGCAUCUCAGAGAUCACCUCACACCCAUGCAGGAGGGGAGGUAUCUUUUGACAACAAACAUGGGGGCCAUUACUGAUCAAUUUUGAAAUUUUUCCUGCAUUGCCCAAAUCUCUAUAGACUGCAGAAACAGGAGCACUGACGCUGAAUUAGGAGAGCCUCAAAGUCACAAUUGUCUCUCUCUGGGAGUUUCAGAUUGAUGCAGGAUAAAGAGAUUAAGCCAGAUGUUGGUUCUCUGCUGCAUUCCUCUGACAUACCAUGGAUACCUGAGGCAGAACAACAAGGUACCUUGAUACUGCUGGAUUCAACAGACUUGUGCUGAUGCCUACUAAAGUAACUCCUUGCAUUUCCAUCAAUUUCCAACUCAGAGAAUCAAAAUAAAGCAAAACAAGCAAAAAAUUUUUGAAGCUCA